rnacentral:rRNA from 1 species
GGUUAAGCGACUAAGCGUACACGGUGGAUGCCCUGGCAGUCAGAGGCGAUGAAGGACGUGCUAAUCUGCGAUAAGCGUCGGUGAGGUGAUAUGAACCGUUAUAACCGGCGAUUUCCGAAUGGGGAAACCCAGUGUGUUUCGACACACUAUCAUUAACUGAAUCCAUAGGUUAAUGAGGCGAACCGGGGGAACUGAAACAUCUAAGUACCCCGAGGAAAAGAAAUCAACCGAGAUUCCCCCAGUAGCGGCGAGCGAACGGGGAGGAGCCCAGAGCCUGAAUCAGUGUGUGUGUUAGUGGAAGCGUCUGGAAAGGCGCGCGAUACAGGGUGACAGCCCCGUACACAAAAAUGCACAUAUUGUGAGCUCGAUGAGUAGGGCGGGACACGUGGUAUCCUGUCUGAAUAUGGGGGGACCAUCCUCCAAGGCUAAAUACUCCUGACUGACCGAUAGUGAACCAGUACCGUGAGGGAAAGGCGAAAAGAACCCCGGCGAGGGGAGUGAAAAAGAACCUGAAACCGUGUACGUACAAGCAGUGGGAGCCUCUUAAUGGGGUGACUGCGUACCUUUUGUAUAAUGGGUCAGCGACUUAUAUUCUGUAGCAAGGUUAACCGAAUAGGGGAGCCGAAGGGAAACCGAGUCUUAACUGGGCGUUAAGUUGCAGGGUAUAGACCCGAAACCCGGUGAUCUAGCCAUGGGCAGGUUGAAGGUUGGGUAACACUAACUGGAGGACCGAACCGACUAAUGUUGAAAAAUUAGCGGAUGACUUGUGGCUGGGGGUGAAAGGCCAAUCAAACCGGGAGAUAGCUGGUUCUCCCCGAAAGCUAUUUAGGUAGCGCCUCGUGAAUUCAUCUCCGGGGGUAGAGCACUGUUUCGGCAAGGGGGUCAUCCCGACUUACCAACCCGAUGCAAACUGCGAAUACCGGAGAAUGUUAUCACGGGAGACACACGGCGGGUGCUAACGUCCGUCGUGAAGAGGGAAACAACCCAGACCGCCAGCUAAGGUCCCAAAGUCAUGGUUAAGUGGGAAACGAUGUGGGAAGGCCCAGACAGCCAGGAUGUUGGCUUAGAAGCAGCCAUCAUUUAAAGAAAGCGUAAUAGCUCACUGGUCGAGUCGGCCUGCGCGGAAGAUGUAACGGGGCUAAACCAUGCACCGAAGCUGCGGCAGCGACACUAUGUGUUGUUGGGUAGGGGAGCGUUCUGUAAGCCUGUGAAGGUGGCCUGUGAGGGUUGCUGGAGGUAUCAGAAGUGCGAAUGCUGACAUAAGUAACGAUAAAGCGGGUGAAAAGCCCGCUCGCCGGAAGACCAAGGGUUCCUGUCCAACGUUAAUCGGGGCAGGGUGAGUCGACCCCUAAGGCGAGGCCGAAAGGCGUAGUCGAUGGGAAACAGGUUAAUAUUCCUGUACUUGGUGUUACUGCGAAGGGGGGACGGAGAAGGCUAUGUUGGCCGGGCGACGGUUGUCCCGGUUUAAGCGUGUAGGCUGGUUUUCCAGGCAAAUCCGGAAAACCAAGGCUGAGGCGUGAUGACGAGGCACUACGGUGCUGAAGCGACAAAUGCCCUGCUUCCAGGAAAAGCCUCUAAGCAUCAGGUAACAUCAAAUCGUACCCCAAACCGACACAGGUGGUCAGGUAGAGAAUACCAAGGCGCUUGAGAGAACUCGGGUGAAGGAACUAGGCAAAAUGGUGCCGUAACUUCGGGAGAAGGCACGCUGAUAUGUAGGUGAAGCGACUUGCUCGUGGAGCUGAAAUCAGUCGAAGAUACCAGCUGGCUGCAACUGUUUAUUAAAAACACAGCACUGUGCAAACACGAAAGUGGACGUAUACGGUGUGACGCCUGCCCGGUGCCGGAAGGUUAAUUGAUGGGGUUAGCGGUAACGCGAAGCUCUUGAUCGAAGCCCCGGUAAACGGCGGCCGUAACUAUAACGGUCCUAAGGUAGCGAAAUUCCUUGUCGGGUAAGUUCCGACCUGCACGAAUGGCGUAAUGAUGGCCAGGCUGUCUCCACCCGAGACUCAGUGAAAUUGAACUCGCUGUGAAGAUGCAGUGUACCCGCGGCAAGACGGAAAGACCCCGUGAACCUUUACUAUAGCUUGACACUGAACAUUGAGCCUUGAUGUGUAGGAUAGGUGGGAGGCUUUGAAGUGUGGACGCCAGUCUGCAUGGAGCCGACCUUGAAAUACCACCCUUUAAUGUUUGAUGUUCUAACGUGGGCCCCUAAUCGGGGUUGCGGACAGUGUCUGGUGGGUAGUUUGACUGGGGCGGUCUCCUCCUAAAGAGUAACGGAGGAGCACGAAGGUUGGCUAAUCCUGGUCGGACAUCAGGAGGUUAGUGCAAUGGCAUAAGCCAGCUUGACUGCGAGCGUGACGGCGCGAGCAGGUGCGAAAGCAGGUCAUAGUGAUCCGGUGGUUCUGAAUGGAAGGGCCAUCGCUCAACGGAUAAAAGGUACUCCGGGGAUAACAGGCUGAUACCGCCCAAGAGUUCAUAUCGACGGCGGUGUUUGGCACCUCGAUGUCGGCUCAUCACAUCCUGGGGCUGAAGUAGGUCCCAAGGGUAUGGCUGUUCGCCAUUUAAAGUGGUACGCGAGCUGGGUUUAGAACGUCGUGAGACAGUUCGGUCCCUAUCUGCCGUGGGCGCUGGAGAACUGAGGGGGGCUGCUCCUAGUACGAGAGGACCGGAGUGGACGCAUCACUGGUGUUCGGGUUGUCAUGCCAAUGGCACUGCCCGGUAGCUAAAUGCGGAAGAGAUAAGUGCUGAAAGCAUCUAAGCACGAAACUUGCCCCGAGAUGAGUUCUCCCUGAGACUUAGAGUCUCCUGAAGGAACGUUGAAGACGACGACGUUGAUAGGCCGGGUGUGUAAGCGCAGCGAUGCGUUGAGCUAACCGGUACUAAUGAACCGUGAGGCUUAACCUU